rnacentral:rRNA from 1 species
GUCCUACGGGACGCAGCAGUGGGGAAUAUUGCACAAUGGGGGGAACCCUGAUGCAGCGACGCCGCGUGAGUGAAGAAGUAUUUCGGUAUGUAAAGCUCUAUCAGCAGGGAAGAAAAUGACGGUACCUGACUAAGAAGCCCCGGCUAACUACGUGCCAGCAGCCGCGGUAAUACGUAGGGGGCAAGCGUUAUCCGGAUUUACUGGGCGUAAAGGGAGCGCAGGCGGCAUGGCAAGUCUGAUGUGAAAACCCGGGGCCCAACCCCGGGAGUGCAUUGGAAACUGCCAGGCUGGAGUGUCGGAGGGGU